ensembl:lncRNA
CUGGCCGACCGGGUUCAAGUCUCGGUUCUAGUAGUGAGAGUAUUCAGAGAAAAUCACCCCGAGACGGACUUGGUCACAUUUUCCCAGGAUCAAUGAGUGUCGCCCCGCAAACCGACUCCCUCCGUUCCGGUACCCUUUUCUCAUGGACCGAUACCGUCUAGGAUGAGGGACUAGUCACGAGGAUAACACGGAGGAUCUGGAGCUGGGCAGCCGACCGCUGAACUGCGAGUGGAAUCACAGCUGCUGGCUGCGAAGAUGUCGGGGAAAAUAGAGAGCAAGCAAGGCUGAACAGGUGUUGGGCUUGGGCGGUAUCACGGUAUACCGGGGUAUUAAGAAAUACUGAAGCGGCAGGCCCAGGAUGCCCUUCGGGACGUUCAGGAGGUUUCCUGGUGGGCUGGUCCCCUUUCAAAUGUAUUUUGGGCCGCUUGGGUAAAAAAAAAAAAGAUACUUUGACCAUUAUUUUAUCGAUAGUAUGUUACUACCAGGUGACCACCAGAGGCGGUGCUUUGAGACUGGAAGUUCCAUCUCGUGCACGCGCAGGUCAAGUAACUAU